GACGUAGGGUGCAAGCGUUGUCCGGAUUUAUUGGGCGUAACGAGCUCGUAGGCGGCUUGUUGCGUCGACUGUGAAAACCCGCGGCUUAACCGCGGGCUUGCAGUCGAUACGGGCAGGCUAGAGUUCGGUAGGGGAGACUGGAAUUCCUGGUGUAGCGGUGAAAUGCGCAGAUAUCAGGAGGAACACCGGUGGCGAAGGCGGUUCUCUGGGCAUGUCCUGACGCUGAGGAGCGAAAGUGUGGGGAGCGAACAGG
rnacentral:rRNA from 1 species